rnacentral:rRNA from 1 species
UACAGAGGGUGCAAGCGUUUAAUCGGAAUUACUGGGCGUAAAGCGUGCGUAGACGGUUAUGUAAGUCAGGUGUGAAAGCCCCGGGCUCAACCUGGGAAUUGCAUUUGAGACUGCAUAGCUAGGGUGCGGAAGAGGGAAGCGGAAUUUCCGGUGUAGCGGUGAAAUGCGUAGAUAUCGGAAGGAACAUCAGUGGCGAAAGCGGCUUCCUGGUCCAGCACCGACGUCAGGCACGAAAGCGUGGGGAGCAAACAGG